GCCCGGUUAGCUCAAUCGGUAGAGCGUGAGACUCUUAAUCUCAAGGUUGCGGGUGAGUAGUGCUGAAGAAAUUGAAAUAAUAUCUUCGAAAUACUAAUCCUAUACAAUAGGUUCGACCCCCGCAUCGGGCU